UCUAUAGCACCAUAUCACCCUAAACAUAUUUGAUCUUGUCUGAUUUUGGAAGCUAAGCAGAAUCAGGCCUGAUUGGUAUUGGGAUGGGAGUCCACAAGGGAUACCAGGUAGGGAUAAGAA
rnacentral:rRNA from 1 species